rnacentral:rRNA from 1 species
AUUGAACGCUGGCGGCAUGCCUUACACAUGCAAGUCGAACGGCAGCACGGGGGCAACCCUGGUGGCGAGUGGCGAACGGGUGAGUAAUACAUCGGAACGUGCCCGGUAGUGGGGGAUAGCUCGGCGAAAGCCGGAUUAAUACCGCAUACGACCUACGGGUGAAAGCGGGGGAUCGCAAGACCUCGCGCCAUCGGAGCGGCCGAUGUCAGAUUAGGUUGUUGGUGGGGUAAAGCCUACCAAGCCGACGAUCUGUAGCUGGUCUGAGAGGACGACCAGCCACACUGGGACUGAGACACGGCCCAGACUCCUACGGGAGGCAGCAGUGGGGAAUUUUGGACAAUGGGCGAAAGCCUGAUCCAGCCAUGCCGCGUGCGGGAAGAAGGCC